AAAGCUGUCUGGCAGGCAGGACACUAGGCAGCCUGUCUCUGCUCACACUCACAUCUGUGCUUGGCUCCCACCAGAAGGCAGGGAACUGCAGUCUGCUGGACUCCCACUCCUGUAGAGAAGGGAAGCUUUAAUAUCUAGCUUGCUUGGAGCUGAGCAGGAAGCCUCAGAAGUGAGAGGACAAGACAAAUGUGUUUGAAGAUGCAAUAAAAUGUGAGCACAGUGGAUUUUUCUGGUGAUGAAUAAGAUUCAUAACAAACAAGCAAGAUUUUAGCAUGCCUCACCUCAUAGGGUUCUUCCUUUCCUGUCACUUUAACAGAAGGUUGUCAAGAUCUGCAGUCAAAAUCUAGUAAGAAGAAAAACCUCAAUACCAGAUUCAUGAGUGAAUCUCAGUCAUGCAGCAAAAUGAGCUGGAACAUACCAGUAGAUUUAGUCCAGAUUCUUCAGUACUGAUGACUGAGAUACAACCAAAUCAUCCACCUGAGACUGUGGCUGUGCAACCAUUAGUCCUGGAUCUGCGUACUAUUUCAUCUGCCAAUCGCGAUGAUUCUGUGAACAUCAUGCACAGGCUCCUAAGACCACUUCUGCCAAGGUAUUCAGACCACAUGAUGUCUUUUCAACAUGCUAUCUGCAGGACAAUAGAUGAAACCUGACACAACACAGUCAGAGCGGCGUGGACACAUUUGAGCUACAUGCUUUUUGUCAGAUGAGUUACUAACUAAACCUGUCAAUGUUUUUUGUUAUUUUUUUUAAUAAACUGGAGUUAGCAGACAAAGUUUA